AUGGCCUAUUUCGAUGAGAAAGAGAAGGAAGAUUCAUAUUUCUUCUACAGGAUAAGGUUAGACGAUGAGGACCGUGUCAGGAACAUGUAUUGGGUGGAUGGUGCUGCAAGGAGAGCCUACAAACAUUUCCGAGAUUGCAUUUCAUUCGACGCGACAUAUCUCACAAAUAUGUACAAGAUGCCAUGCACUCCAUUCAUAGGAAUAAAUAACCACAAUCAGUCGUUGCAGGUCGGAUUCGGGCUCGUUCGGAACAAAGACACGGAUGGGUACGUUUGGCUGUUCAAGACCUUCUUGGAGUGCAUGGAUGGACUUGCUCCGAUGAACAUAAUAACAGACUAGGAUUUUAGCAUGCGUGCAGGCAUAGAGGAGGUCUUUCCGUUGGCAGUGCACAGGCACUGCAGGUGGCACAUUAUAAAGAAGGCUGAGGAGACGCUAGGACCAUUCUUUGCUGACCGUCCAGAGCUGCACAAGGUAUUCGAACUAUGCGUGGACCACAGCUUGACGGUGGAGGAGUUUGAAAGGAGCUGGAUGGCCAUGAUUGAAACAUAUCAAGUCACAGACAACGAGACUCUUGCUAGCCUGUGGGAGAAGCGAAUGUACUGGGUGCCGGCCUACUUCAUGCAGUGCUUCUUCCCGUUUCUGCAAACUACAUAG
rnacentral:rRNA from 1 species